rnacentral:rRNA from 1 species
AUUGAACGCUGGCGGCAGGCCUAACACAUGCAAGUCGAACGAGUGGCGGACUGGUGAGUAAUGUCUGGGACACUGCCCGAUGGAGGGGGAUAACUACUGGAAACAGUAGCUACUACUGCCUACCAUCGGAUGUGCCCAGAUGGGAUUAGCUACUAGGUGGGGUAACGGCUCACCUAGGCGACGAUCCCUAGCUGGUCUGCGAGGAUGACCGGCCACACGGGAACGGAGACACGGUCCAGACUCCAACGGGAGGCAGCAGGGGGGAAUAUUGAACAAUGGGCGCAAGCCUGAUGCAGCCAUGCCGCGUGUAUGAAGAAGGCAUUCGGGUUGUAAAGUACUUUCAGCGAGGAGGCGGUACUCGCAGAAGAAGCACCGGCUAACUCCGUGCCAGCAGCCGCGGUAAUAC